rnacentral:rRNA from 1 species
CCUACGGGAGGCAGCAGUGGGGAAUUUUGCGCAAUGCUCGUAAGAGUGACGCAGCGACGCCGCGUGAAUGACGAAGGCCUUCGGGUCGUAAAGUUCUUUCGACAGGGAAGAAAAUGCCUAUAAGUAACUGUGUAUGUAUUGACGGUACCUGUAUAAGCAGCCCCGGCUAACUCCGUGCCAGCAGCCGCGGUAAUACGGAGGGGGCGAGCGUUGUUCGGAGUGACUGGGCGUAAAGAGCACGUAGGCGGUGUUGUAAGUCAUUAGUCAAAGACUAGAGCUCAACUUUAGUAAGGCUAGUGAUACUAUAAUACUAGAGUGUCAGAGAGGAUUGCAGAAUUCCUGGUGUAGCGGUGAAAUGCGUAGAUAGCAGGAGGAAUACCGUUAGCGAAGGCGGCACUCUGGCUGGAAACUGACGCUGAGGUGCGAAAGCGUGGGUAGCAAACAGGAUUAGAUACCCCUGUAGUC